rnacentral:lncRNA from 1 species
AUGUUUGCCAGGGCACAGACCAGUCCAUGUGGCUUUGAGCUGCGCUCUGUGCUGGUUCCAGCUUCUCCUGGGGUCGCCCACACUCUGGCCACCCCGGGAGCCCUGGACGACGCAGCCAGCACCUCCUGUGGCCGCGGGAGAGCCGAGGUGGCGCUGGGGUCCCACCACCUCGGUGAUUGGGGGGCUGGACACCCCGGGGCUUCACACCUGCUGGCGGGGAGAGAAACGCGAGGCGCCUAUCGGCCCGGGGUGGCCCGCGCGCAGGGUGGCCGCCGAGGCCGCGUCCUGGGGACCCGGCUGGCCUGCAGCGCGCACGGCCCAGCGGCGGCGGCUUCCCGGAGCCUCUGUGCGCGUCUCGGCGGGCAGGCAGCAGGCGUGGGUUCCCUCGGUGCCCGCGGGGCGGGCCGGGCGCCCCCUGAGGCUGCACGCGGAGCCCGCCGGCCUAGGAUGGAGGCGCAGUCGCCCGGCCCCGAGUCCGCCCCGCGAGGCGCCGCGCGGAGUCUCAGUGAAGGCAGCGUCGUCAGCGCCACUCCCCCGAUGUCCCAGGGCUCCGAAGCCGCGGCGGGCGGGCCCGGAGACCAGGGCCGAGCGCCCCGGUGCCCCUCGGCGGAGCGCGGGGCCCGGGCGCGCUACCCCCGUCCCCCGCCCCGCGCGGCGUCCCCAGCACCUUGGAGGCCGGCCCUGCAGUCCUGGAGGGGCCUUCCCUGUCCUCCGCGCCCCGGCUCUGAGACCCCCACCCAGGACUGGGGAGGCGCAGGAGCUCUCUGCACACGCGCGCGCGUGCACACACACACACACACACACACACACACACACACACACAGGCGCGCGCGCAGGCCGUUGCUAUGGAGAGGCCGGUUACCAGCGAGGCUGAGGGCGACAGGUCCCCUCCUCCGGGCCUCCCUUCCCUGCCUGCGGCCCCCCUCCGCCGACCUCCACCCUCGCCCCGCCGGAGCUUCCGGGGCCCCUCCCACCUCCUCCGCGGCCCCUGCCUGCAACCCCUCCGCUCCUCCUUCCCUUCCCAGGGCCGAGCCAGGGGUCGCCCCGGAGGCUGGAGAAGUGCGUGGAGGCCUGGGGCCCUCGGGUGCGCCCCAGCCCGGAGGAGGGCAGCGAGGAGAGACGGGAGCCACCGCUACUCGGGUCUUUGCCCAGGGCGCAGUGCCGGGGCACAGGUCUCGGGAUUGGACCACCGGGAGGCCCAGCGGAGGUGGGGGGGUGUGGCAGGCUGAGACCCGAGACCCGAGGGCAUUUGCUGGGGGUCUGCAGGCCUUGCCCUGGCUCGAGGCUGCGGAAGCCGGGGCCUCCCGGCACCUCCCACCCUACUGGAUGUGUGAGGCGGUUGGGGUGCACUGUGGGUGGGGAAUCCAGGAGAAGCCCAAGUCUGCCCAUUCGUCCUCCCCUGGACCUCAUUCUAGAAGCCUGGGCCACCCUGCCCUGCGACCAGCGAGGCGACAGGGGCCUGCAGGGGCUGGGGUGGACGCGCCACCUCUUAGCCCAGUCCCUCUCUGA